rnacentral:rRNA from 1 species
UACCCGCGCCCCUAGUGGUGGUCGAUAUUAUUGAGCCUAAAACGUCCGUAGCCGGUCUUCUAAAUCCUUGGGUAAAUCGGGCAGCUUAACUGUCCGAAGUCCGGGGAGACUGGGAGACUUGGGACCGGGAGAGGUCAGAGGUACUUCUGGGGUAGGGGUAAAAUCCUGUAAUCCUGGAAGGACCACCGGUGGCGAAGGCGUCUGACUAGAACGGAUCCGACGGUGAGGGACGAAGCCCUGGGGCGCAAAC